CCAUCGGCUUUUUUCAAAGCCACAAAUCUUCGCCUUUCUCGGCAAC
rfam:Catenaria anguillulae PL171 BCR44scaffold_2, whole genome shotgun sequence.